GUAUAACAAAACCUCCGAGUAAUUUUAACUAAGACUUAUCAGUCAAAGUGACUUAACUUAUUGAUCCAAUCAUAUUGAUCAACGGAACA
rnacentral:rRNA from 1 species